AAUCAGUCUCACGAAGGAGUCCAGGCUGACAAUGUCAGCUCCUUCAAGGCAACAGUGAUCAGUCAGCAGGCACAAGGACAUCAAAUUCUAGGAGCCACGAAACUGGCCAGGGUCUGAAUUAUUUACACCAUGGAAAUCUGCAAGUGCAACAAACCAAGACUUUCUUCUUUCUAGAGAGUCGGGUGCCAAGCACCCACCGGCACGCACAAACUGCACCGGUUUUCACCACAGCCUGUGAUUCUGCAAAAUGGCAUGAGAGCAAGAAGACCCAGAGCCUGAUAGUUUUCAAAUCCAACAUUUGUCUUAACAGUGAUCAGCUUUCACCCCCCAAAGACUUACUUUACUAAAACAUUGAUGUUAGUUGACACAUGAACGACAAUCAUGAUACUAUUUCCUAUUCUGAGUUAUCUUUUGUUGUUGUUCUUUUAGAGAUAGAGAGAGACCACAAGUAGGCAGAGCAGCAG